UACGGGGGGAGCAAGCGUUGUUCGGAUUUACUGGGCGUAAAGGGCGCGUAGGCGGUCGUGACAAGUCACUUGUGAAAUCCCCGGGCUUAACCUGGGAACUGCAUUUGUGACUGCAUAGCUAGAGUACGGUAGAGGGGGAUGGAAUUCCGCGUGUAGCAGUGAAAUGCGUAGAUAUGCGGAGGAACACCGAUGGCGAAGGCAAUCCCCUGGACCUGUACUGACGCUCAUGCACGAAAGCGUGGGGAGCAAACAGG
rnacentral:rRNA from 1 species